AUGUGGGCUUUACCUUACUUUUGGGCUGAAAUAAGAAAAACCGCUAAAAGCAGGACCGCUAUUUGGACAGCUAUUUGGACCGCUAUGAGUUCGUAUGUCCGCUAAGCGCUAUUGACUGCAUAGUUUGCUACAAUAGGUACGUAAAGUAUAACCGAUCUAUUUAAUUCAGAUCCAAAACUAUACGUUUCAGCAUUUAGAGGAAAAAAUGAUAACUACAUUGAUU
rnacentral:lncRNA from 1 species